CUUCUGGUCAAAGAGGUUGAUGUACCUCCCUGACCAGAAGGGUUUCCUUCCGGUCAACAAGGAUGUACCUUGUUGAUUGGAAGGAAACCCUUCCAAUCAGCGAGGUACAUCUACCUCGUUGACCGGAAG
rnacentral:miRNA from 1 species